rnacentral:rRNA from 1 species
UGGAUCGGGAGUGCUCAGAGAUGGGUGUGCCUCUUUUGGGGUCGGUUCACAGGUGGUGCAUGGCUGUCGUCAGCUCGUGUCGUGAGAUGUUGGGUUAAGUCCCGCAACGAGCGCAACCCUUGUUCACUGUUGCCAGCACAUUAUGGUGGGGACUCAGUGGAGACCGCCGGGGUCAACUCGGAGGAAGGUGGGGAUGACGUCAAGUCAUCAUGCCCCUUAUGUCCAGGGCUUCACGCAUGCUACAAUGGCUGGUACAGAGAGUGGCGAGCCUGUGAGGGUGAGCGAAUCUCGGAAAGCCGGUCUCAGUUCGGAUUGGGGUCUGCAACUCGACCUCAUGAAGUCGGAGUCGCUAGUAAUCGCAGAUCAGCAACGCUGCGGUGAAUACGUUCCCGGGCCUUGUACACACCG